rnacentral:rRNA from 1 species
GAUGAACGCUGGCGGCGUGCCUAAUACAUGCAAGUCGAGCGAAUGGAUUAAGAGCUUGCUCUUAUGAAGUUAGCGGCGGACGGGUGAGUAACACGUGGGUAACCUGCCCAUAAGACUGGGAUAACUCCGGGAAACCGGGGCUAAUACCGGAUAACAUUUUGAACCGCAUGGUUCGAAAUUGAAAGGCGGCUUCGGCUGUCACUUAUGGAUGGACCCGCGUCGCAUUAGCGAGUUGGUGAGGUAACGGCUCACCAAGGCAACGAUGCGGAGCCGACCUGAGAGGGUGAUCGGCCACACUGGGACUGAGACCCGGCCCAGACUCCUACGGGAGGCAGCAGUAGGGAAUCUUCCGCAAUGGACGAAAGUCUGACGGAGCAACGCCGCGUGAGUGAUGAAGGCUUUCGGGUCGUAAAACUCUGUUGUUAGGGAAGAACAAGUGCUAGUUGAAUAAGCUGGCACCUUGACGGUACCUAACCAGAAAGCCACGGCUAACUACGUGCCAGCCGCCGCAGUAA